rfam:Clostridium sp. CAG:632 genomic scaffold, scf117
AAGCGCAGAAGUAAGGUGUUGUGCCAGAAAGCAGUGCCUUAUGAGCUUUAUACGGGUUUGACAUUUACCACAAUCUGGCUAGAACGGUUAGACGUUUGAAAGAAAAUGUCAAAG